AGAGUUUGAUCCUGGCUCAGAAUGAACGCUGGCGGCAUGCCUAACACAUGCAAGUCGAACGAGACCUUCGGGUCUAGUGGCGCACGGGUGCGUAACGCGUGGGAAUCUGCCCUUGGGUUCGGAAUAACAGUUAGAAAUGACUGCUAAUACCGGAUGAUGUCGUAAGACCAAAGAUUUAUCGCCCAAGGAUGAGCCCGCGUAGGAUUAGCUAGUUGGUGAGGUAAGAGCUCACCAAGGCGACGAUCCUUAGCUGGUCUGAGAGGAUGAUCAGCCACACUGGGACUGAGACACGGCCCAGACUCCUACGGGAGGCAGCAGUGGGGAAUAUUGGACAAUGGGCGAAAGCCUGAUCCAGCAAUGCCGCGUGAGUGAUGAAGGCCUUAGGGUUGUAAAGCUCUUUACCCGGGAUGAUAAUGACAGUACCGGGAGAAUAAGCUCCGGCUAACUUCGUG
rnacentral:rRNA from 1 species